CCUACGGGAGGCAGCAGUGAGGAAUAUUGGUCAAUGGGCGAGAGCCUGAACCAGCCAAGUCGCGUGAGGGAGUACUGCCCUAUGGGUUGUAAACCUCUUUUGUCGGGGAGCAAAAGCCGGACGUGUCCGGCUGUGAGAGUACCCGAAGAAAAAGCAUCGGCUAACUCCGUGCCAGCAGCCGCGGUAAUACGGAGGAUGCGAGCGUUAUCCGGAUUUAUUGGGUUUAAAGGGUGCGCAGGCGGAUUUUUAAGUCAGCGAUAAAAUCGUGGGGCUCAACCCCAUCCAGCCGUUGAAACUGGGGAUCUAGAGUGUGCGAGAGGUAUGCGGAAUGCGUGGUGUAGCGGUGAAAUGCAUAGAUAUCACGCAGAACCCCGAUUGCGAAGGCAGCAUACCGGUGCACAACUGACGCUCAGGCACGAAAGCGUGGGUAUCGAACAGGAUUAGAUAUCCCUGUAGUC
rnacentral:rRNA from 1 species